rnacentral:snoRNA from 1 species
CUUCUAUAAUGGUUGCCUAGUUCAGCAAAUUGAACUCUGAAUAGAGGUAUGAUGUAAAG